AAGUCGUAACAAGGUUUCCGUAGGUGAACCUGCGGAAGGAUCAUUACGUAUUUUUAGGCCGGUCUGACCGGUUCUAUUCAACCCUGUUUUUUGCGUACUUUCUUGUUUCCUCGGUAGGCUUGCCUGCCGUUAGGACAUUUUUAACCAUUCAUGUUUUGUACUUCAGCGUCAAAAAACAAUACAAUUAUAACAACUUUCAACAACGGAUCUCUUGGUUCUG
rnacentral:misc_RNA from 1 species